GCUUUGCACUCACCCGAAAUCCUGGAGAUGGCGGCGACCCUGGGCAGCGGGGGCGGGAAUAGGAGCCCCCGCCUGGGAGGCAGGAUAUUUCCGGGGGCGGGAUAAUUGCAGGACCCAGCCAAUGGGGAGGGAAGGGAGGGAACCUGGGCUUUGAGUAUAGGGAACAGAUGCUCGUUGCCUUAAGGGUUAAAGGCAGAGAGUGCAAGCUGCUAGAGGGGAGGGUGCUGCUGCUCGAUACUGACUUGGGAAACGGCGUGGGGCUUAAGCUGAACAGCUGACCCGCCCCCUCUGCACUUGUCUUGCAAGGAAUAAGGUCAAUCCCUAGCUAGAGAUCUGCCAUCCCCUUGUCUCGGUCCCAGAUUUGGGUCUCUGCCUCCUGGGAUUUUAGACACACAUGGUCGCCACAUGUUGACUGCAGCAGGCAAUGGCUCCCUCGCAUUGCGGGUCACUCUGAAACACCACAGAGAUUGGACGUUGCUUUGACGAAUAUCCUGUAACCAACCACCUUCCUGAGCCCUCUGGUCUCGCCCACUGCCAAUAAAAAUAAAAUACCUGUUUACCUGA